rnacentral:rRNA from 1 species
GUGCCUUGGCAGUCGAGUUUGAUCUGGCUCAGGAUGAACGCUGGCGGCGUGCCUAACACAUGCAAGUCGAGCGAUUCUCUUCGGAGAAGAGCGGCGGACGGGUGAGUAACGCGUGGGUAACCUGCCUCAUACACAUGGAUAACAUACCGAAAGGUAUGCUAAUACAGGAUAAUAUAAGAGAUUCACAUGGAUUUCUUAUCAAAGCUCCGGCGGUAUGAGAUGGACCCGCGUCUGAUUAGCUAGUUGGUAAGGUAACGGCUUACCAAGGCGACGAUCAGUAGCCGACCUGAGAGGGUGAUCGGCCACAUUGGAACUGAGACACGGUCCAAACUCCUACGGGAGGCAGCAGUGGGGAAUAUUGCACAAUGGGCGAAAGCCUGAUGCAGCAACGCCGCGUGAGUGAUGAAGGCCUUCGGGUCGUAAAACUCUGUCCUCAAGGAAGAUAAUGACGGUACUUGAGGAGGAAGCCCCGGCUAACUACGUGCCAGCCGCCGC